AGCUCCAGGGCACAGAGCUGAGCAGGCCUCGAGCAUCAGAAUGGAAGCUUGGACACCAACCUGCCUCUGAUUGGUCCCAAGGCGGAGGAAACAGGUGCAGGGAGGUUGUCACUUGCCUGAGGACAGCCAACUGUGAAAAAGGGGUGCUGGAACUCAUCACGAACUCUUUUUACCUGUCACCGUGAUCAAGGCCAUCCUAGCUCGGCGAAGAUUCUCCCCAUGAAGAGAGAAGCAGGAACCAUGGUUCAGAUUGUUUUUAAGACCGGAAGCUGGGUCCUGGAGUGGAUGGCACUGCCUAGAUGGGGAAGAACUGCUGGAGAGGAACCUCGUGAGGCCCUUUGGAAGUUCCAGGGAGGAAACGAGGCGGCAGAGGCUCCCAGUGGCAGUGUCAGCAGAGGUGGGUGACAGGCAUUGAUUUGUUCUGGGGAAGGAAC